AAAGACCAAGAGGUAUGGAUUAUAAUUUCUUCACAAAGUGGUCAUCGUUUUGCCAAACAAAUUAGUUAAAUCCCAUGGAAUUUGUACCACAAUUCUUCCUCUUGCUGUAUAGGUCGAGACGAGCUGACAGGAUAGGAACUCUUCACACAUAUUGCACUGUACUCUGAGAUCGUCAAGGUGCUGUAGAUCAAGCUGGGUGAAGACUAGCUGUUGGUGUGGAUUUAAUGGUGACCACGAUGUUAUGUGGAUUUUUGCUUAAAUCAUCCUUAAACUUGGGUUUGGAUGCUACCAAUUAAAUAUCCUAGCUACUAUUUUGUAAAAGGAAGAAAAUAACCAGUUUGAAACUUAGGGACAUAGUUGGCUAGUGAGUUGUUAGAUUGUAUAAACAAAUAUUUUGGUAUGUAUAUAGAGGUUGACUGUAAAGCUUUUGAAUACGUCGUCUAGUUGGCAAGAUAUCUUCGAUGUUGGCAUUUUUUUGUUAGGUUUAUAUAGAGGUAAGGACUUGAAAAAAAAAAGAAGCUAUGUUGGAGUUGAAUUCAAACUUGAAGUGGAGGUGUUGUCUAUUUUGAAAUUUUAUUUUGAAAUCAGCUGAACUUUUCAAUUAAUAUUUAUCAUAUAAGAAUGUAGGUAGGUUUUAGUGACA